rnacentral:rRNA from 1 species
AGAUUGAACGCUGGCGGCAUGCCUUACACAUGCAAGUCGAACGGCAGCACGGGAGCAAUCCUGGUGGCGAGUGGCGAACGGGUGAGUAAUACAUCGGAACGUGCCCAAUCGUGGGGGAUAACGCAGCGAAAGCUGUGCUAAUACCGCAGUAAGAUCUACGGAUGAAAGCAGGGGAUCGCAAGGACCUUGCGCGAAUGGAGCGGUCCGAUGG